CGUAGUAAUUUAACAAAAAUAUGAAAAAUCUCAAAUAAAUAGAUGAAAUCUAUAAUUCAUGUAUGUGUUCAAUUGCAUUAAUAGGGUUGUAGUGCACAAUCGAUAAGUUUGGGGAGAAAUUUAUUUAAUUUGGAUGUUUGGGGGCGUAAAUGAAAACAGCCAAAAGAUAAUGGACCAUUCAUGCAAUUGUGAAGAAGGACUGAAAUAUACAAUUGAUAUUUUUGGGGUAGAUUCAUGGAAAAAUAAUUACGAUUUAAUAGUUUGUUGCAAAAACAAGAAAAACAAAGAAACUGAAGGAUCUAAACAUAAAUAUGAACAAGUUGGCCGUUAGAGAAGCUCGAGAUCGCGGUUGACGUCGCAAAUCGAACACGACCACGAUGAUGAGCGUGAUGGUUCUGAGAAGAAACUAUCUCUAUUGCUAUGGUGGAAGAAGACGAUUGCAGUGACAAACGGUGAGCUUGAUUGCCAUUUGAGACCACGAGGAAGAAGAUCUGCGACGGUUUAGAUUGGUGGUCAAAAUUGUUUGAAGACGCAGUAGAAACAUGGUCUUGGUGUAGAUAAGACAGAGGAUUUUGGUUGAAAGAAGCUUGACGGAAACUUGAAUCAUGGUGGAGAUGGAGAGAACACGAUGGAGGUAACCUACGCCGGCGGAGAUUUUUGUUUUUUGUUUUUGUUUUUUUUUUUUAAUUAAUUCAUUAAUGGUGUUAUGGUAAUUCAUACGAUAGAGGUCCAUACAGAUUAAUUUAGUUUGUAGGAGAUUUUUUUAAGCUUUUUGAUCUAUUUCCGAAUUUUGUCCAAGAAUCAUCAGCAAAAAAGAGAUGAUAUACUGAUGGCCCUUGCUCAGAAAAUUGGAUACCAUUUAUUUCUUCUCUACGCUCCGCCUCAUUGAGCUGAUGUAAUAGCCCUUCAGUACGUAAAUCAAAAAGAAUAGGAGACAAAGGAUCACCCUGUCUCAACCCUCUACCCGGUCUUAUCAUCCCUUGAGCUUCUCUGUUAAUCAAGACAGUGUGUGUGACAGAUCGCACACAGAACAUAAUCCAUUCUCGAAAGGUCCCAGUGACUAAACAUGAACUCGAGAAGGCUACUUGGACAUUUCUGCAUACUCUUGAUGCGCAGUUGAAUACUUGACUGUUUUUUCUUUGCCCAAAAGUGACUCUUAACCAUCCAUUUGGUACAUUAGGUAUGAAUAGACUUAGAGGGAUAUUUUUUUAGUAUUGGUUGGAACUUAAAGAUAGUUGAGAGAACUCUUAGCUUUGACUUUUUGAUUCUUGCUUACGGUUGUUCUAUGCUCUUUGAUUUACUGAGUCAAACAAACAGAGUGUGCUUCAGUU